rnacentral:lncRNA from 1 species
ACUGGUGAUGUCACAAUUUGGGGCUUCUGGGUGGUUCUGCAGAGGCCCCAGGGACCUGUAGGCAGGUGGAGAGGGGAUGGGGGAGGUCUCAGGUCCUCUUGCUCACCCAUCAGCUGUGUAGUGUCUGAAGUGAUUAAGGAGCUUGGGGAGAAUGCUGGAAGCCAAGCUUGCACAUUCUAGGCAGCCAUUUGGAAGAUUCUUCUCUGCGCAUGACCAGCUGAAAAGGAAAAACCCCGAAACAUUGGCACUGUGAUUUCUCCAUGUGAACAGUUUAGUUCGCCGAGGUGGACAUGCCUCAUUCAUGCUUAUGGAGUGACCGACCAGCCUUUAGUGACACCCCCUGAAAUGUGAGUCAUCCAUGGGUCACUAGUCAUUGGAGAAGAGCCCCUUAUACAAAACUUGGAGCUCAGACCACAAACAACAACAACAAUCCAAAAAAUAAAAAAAUGAAAAAUUAGGAGCAGAGACUAAAUGGAAAGAUGGAAAUAUUAAAAUAAAAAUAUUAUUUUAAAAAUUAA